GAUUUGAGUCACAUGACCUCCUGCUGUUGGAUCACACCCGCUGACCGUAAACCAUCAAGCAUUGUGAACCAUGAAUUAGCAACAUCUGAAGAAAACCAUUUUCUCGAGUGAAACUUGAAAUAUUUAAUAUGUGUAGUGGUGUUCAUCCAGGUGUGGACGAGCGACGGACAGAAAUACACUGAGAUCUACAACAGAGUCAGACCGUGUGGCUCGUUCAUGAAACAAUGGUGUGAUGAAGAUGUCUGUUUCCAUAGAGACUGUUGCCACGCUCUGCUGCCAUGGCAACGGUCAGCCUCACACCUAUUAACCCCAG